rnacentral:lncRNA from 1 species
GAGACACAUUAAACUUAUCCAAGACCAUAUCUGAAAAUAGGAGAGAACAGAGUCAAACCCGGGCAACCUGGCUCUGAAUCCAGCUCUCGUCUUGUUGGCUGUGCUGUCUUUUCAGAGACUGGCAUCUCCUGUAAGUGCAGUUCAGGCGGAAUGAAGAAAAGGGAAAAAAAUUGACGGAGAGAAGAAAGUGGAAAGAGCACAUUGGUCCUUUCUGCCUCACGGACGACUGUUCCAAGGCUUGUUGGUUUCUUACGUGUUACCAUGACACCCACAACCAGGGAGGACAACUCUGGACCUGUAUACAGAAUGUACUUGGGCGAAGGUGCCAACCUCCCUGGGUCACUAAGGUUAGUGUAUAUGACUCUGCUGAGAAGGAUGGAUGUCAAGUGAGGGAGGAGGGAUAGCAGGAAUUACACGUAUAAGGUGAACGUGAAUACAAAAACAUGUCCCUAAUUUUCCAAUAAAAAGAUUUUAAAAAUUAGGUCGAUAUGAAUAUAUAAACAUUGAAUGGAUUUAAUCAUAUACUCACUUAUGCAUAUGUGUUCAAUCACACCUAGUAUUUAUAUCUAUAAUUUAUACAUUGUUAUUCAUAUGUAAAUUAUAGAACAAAUCAUAUUAGAUUAUAUAUUAUAAUUAUAUGUAGUAAACUUCUAUCAUUAUAAAUGCAUCUAAUAUUUAUAUAAUUAAUAAUAUAUCGAAUUAUUUGAUUACAUUUGUAUAUACAACCAAAUUUUACAUAGGUAUCAUAAACUAUCAAUACAGAGCUAUUAUAUUUUCAUAACUU